rnacentral:rRNA from 1 species
GAUGAACGCUGGCGGCGUGCCUAAUACAUGCAAGUCGAGCGAACAGACGAGGAGCUUGCUCCUCUGACGUUAGCGGCGGACGGGUGAGUAACACGUGGAUAACCUACCUAUAAGACUGGGAUAACUUCGGGAAACCGGAGCUAAUACCGGAUAAUAUAUUGAACCGCAUGGUUCAAUAGUGAAAGACGGUUUUGCUGUCACUUAUAGAUGGAUCCGCGCCGCAUUAGCUAGUUGGUAAGGUAACGGCUUACCAAGGCAACGAUGCGUAGCCGACCUGAGAGGGUGAUCGGCCACACUGGAACUGAGACACGGUCCAGACUCCUACGGGAGGCAGCAGUAGGGAAUCUUCCGCAAUGGGCGAAAGCUUGACGGAGCAACGCCGCGUGAGUGAUGAAGGUCUUCGGAUCGUAAAACUCUGUUAUUAGGGAAGAACAAAUGUGUAAUUAACUAUGCACGUCUUGACGGUACCUAAUCAGAAAGCCACGGCUAACUACGUG